AGAGUUUGAUCCUGGCUCAGGACGAACGCUGGCGGCGUGCUUAACACAUGCAAGUCACGGGGGCCCGCAAGGGCAACCGGCGAACGGGUGCGUAACACGUGAGCAACCUACCUCGAUGUGGGGGAUAGCCGGCCCAACGGCCGGGUAAUACCGCAUACGAUCUGUGGGGGGAGUCCCCUGCAGAGGAAACCUCCGGGGCAUCGAGAGGGGCUCGCGGCCUAUCAGCUAGUUGGCGAGGUAACGGCUCACCAAGGCGACGACGGGUAGCUGGUCUGAGAGGAUGGCCAGCCACAUUGGGACUGAGAGACGGCCCAGACUCCUACGGGAGGCAGCAGUGGGGAAUCUUGCGCAACGGCCGAAAGGCUGACGCAGCGACGCCGCGUGUGGGAUGAAGCAUUUCGGUGUGUAAACCACUGUUGCCCGGGACGAACAGCUUCUUUCGAGGAGCCUGACGGUACCGGGUGAGGAAGCACCGGCUAACUCCGUGCCAGCAGCCGCGGUAAUACGGAGGGUGCGAGCGUUGUCCGGAAUCACUGGGCGUAAAGGGCGCGUAGGCGGCGCGGGUAGUCAACGGUGAAAGCUUGGGGCUCAACCCCGAGUCGGCCGUCGAUACUCCCGCGCUUGAGCACUGUAGAGGCAGGUGGAAUUCCGGGUGUAGCGGUGGAAUGCAGAGAUCCGGAAGAACACCGGUGGCGAAGGCGGCCUGCUGGGCAGUAGCUGACGCUGAGGCGCGACAGCGUGGGGAGCAAACAGGAUUAGAUACCCCUGUAGUCC
rnacentral:rRNA from 1 species